UCCGGCCACAUCACGUUGAAGCAUCGCUUCCCUUACGAUCACCGAAAUUAAGCAACGUUGGGCCUGGUCAGUACAUAGAUGAGUGAUCGCCUGAAAAUACCA